rnacentral:rRNA from 1 species
UACGGAGGGUGCAAACGUUGCUCGGAAUCAUUGGGCGUAAAGCGCACGUAGGCGGUUCUGUAAGUCGGGCGUGAAAUCCCUCGGCUUAACCAAGGAAGUGCACUCGAAACUACAGAACUUGAAUACUGGAGAGGGUCGCAGAAUUCUCGGUGUAGAGGUGAAAUUCGUAGAUAUCGGGAGGAAUACCAGUGGCGAAGGCGGCGACCUGGUCAGAUAUUGACGCUGAGGUGCGAAAGCGUGGGGAGCGAACAGG